UCCCUUUUCAAAACUCUCGUUCUCUUCUUCCUUUCUUUCAUUUUCUGAAAACCCUAUUUUUCGCUCUACACUUUCAAAUUCUAACUUCAUUUCACGAAGAGAUGUUGGAGAAGCACAAGGCUUUUGCUUUUGGUCUUCAUUUGCUAUGAAAUAUGCAGAUGCGUUGGCUUCUAUCAAGAAAGGAGACCGAAGUCACCUUCAUCUUCAACGUCGAUCAUCCUAAAAGUUUUCACCAUUUUUGAUCGUCAAUAAGGUAGAGGGUCCUCAAUGUGUGCAAAUAAGGGUGGGGUGACACAAACAAUCUCAUCCCUUGUUUGGCAAAGACUACUGAAGGUUAAUUAUUUGUUUCCAAAAUGUUGCUUUCCAACUUUAUUUCAUUUUCUAAUAUUUAUUUUUAAAUCAAAUUAAGGUAAAACAUGCGCUAAAACAAUGCUAAUUAAAAAAUAAAUAAAUAUUUUGCAUUACAAGUUUCAUAUUUUUGCAAGUAUGGUUUUUAAAAUUU